rnacentral:rRNA from 1 species
GACGAACGCUGGCGGCGUGCCCAAUACAUGCAAGUCGAGCGCAGGAAGUCAUCCGAACCCUUCGGGGGGACGUUGACGGAAUGAGCGGCGGACGGGUGAGUAACACGUAAAGAACCUGCCCUCAGGUCUGGGAUAACCACGAGAAAUCGGGGCUAAUACCGGAUGGGUCAUCGGACCGCAUGGUCCGAGGAUGAAAGGCGCUCCGGCGUCGCCUGGGGAUGGCUUUGCGGUGCAUUAGCUAGUUGGUGGGGUAAUGGCCCACCAAGGCGACGAUGCAUAGCCGACCUGAGAGGGUGAUCGGCCACACUGGGACUGAGACACGGCCCAGACUCCUACGGGAGGCAGCAGUAGGGAAUCUUCCACAAUGGACGAAAGUCUGAUGGAGCAACGCCGCGUGAACGAUGAAGGCCCUCGGGUCGUAAAGUUCUGUUGUAAGGGAAGAACAAGUGCCGCAGGCAAUGGCGGCACCUUGACGGUACCUUGCGAGAAAGCCACGGCUAACUACGUG